CAGUAGCCGCGGUAAUACGUAGGGUGCAAGCGUUAAUCGGAAUUACUGGGCGUAAAGCGUGCGCAGGCGGUUUUGUAAGUCUGUCGUGAAAUCCCCGGGCUCAACCUGGGAAUGGCGAUGGAGACUGGCGAGCUAGAGUGUGUCAGAGGAUGGUGGAAUUCCCGGUGUAGCGGUGAAAUGCGUAGAGAUCGGGAGGAACAUCAGUGGCGAAGGCGGCCAUCUGGGACAACACUGACGCUGAGGCACGAAAGCGUGGGGAGCAAACAGGAUUAGAUACCCCCGUAGUCCCUGUCUCUUAUAC
rnacentral:rRNA from 1 species